UCGAACGAGAACGGGUUAUAGCUUGCUAUAACUGUCAGCUAAGUGGCGCACGGGUGAGUAAUAUAUAGGUAAUGUGCCCUAGAGAGGGGGAUAACAGUUGGAAACGACUGCUAACACCCCAUAUGCCUUUAAGACAAAAGUCUGCAAGGGAAAUAUUUAUAGCUCUAGGAUCGGCCUGUACGGUAUCAGCUAGUUGGUGAGGUAAUGGCUCACCAAGGCAAUGACGCCUAACUGGUUUGAGAGGAUGAUCAGUCACACUGGAACUGAGACACGGUCCAGACUCCUACGGGAGGCAGCAGUGGGGAAUAUUGCACAAUGGGGGAAACCCUGAUGCAGCAACGCCGCGUGGAGGAUGACACAUUUCGGUGCGUAAACUCCUUUUAUAUAGGAAGAUAAUGACGGUACUAUAUGAAUAAGCGCCGGCUAACUCCGUGCCAGCAGCCGCGGUAAUACGGAGGGCGCAAGCGUUACUCGGAAUCACUGGGCGUAAAGAGCGUGUAGGCGGGUUAAUAAGUUUGAAGUGAAAUCCUAUGGCUCAACCAUAGAACUGCUUUGAAAACUGUUAACCUAGAAUAUGGGAGAGGUAGAUGGAAUUUCUGGUGUAGGGGUAAAAUCCGUAGAGAUCAGAAGGAAUACCGAUUGCGAAGGCGAUCUACUGGAACAUUAUUGACGCUGAGACGCGAAAGCGUGGGGAGCAAACAGGAUUAGAUACCCUGGUAGUCCACGCCCUAAACGAUGUACACUAGUUGUUGUGAGGCUAGACCUUGCAGUAAUGCAGUAAACACAUUAAGUGUACCGCCUGGGGAGUACGGUCGCAAG
rnacentral:rRNA from 1 species